CCUACGGGUGGCAGCAGUGAGGAAUAUUGGUCAAUGGACGGAAGUCUGAACCAGCCAUGCCGCGUGCAGGAAGACGGCUCUAUGAGUUGUAAACUGCUUUUGUACAAGGGUAAACCUGAAUACGUGUAUUCAGCUGAGAGUACUGUACGAAUAAGGAUCGGCUAACUCCGUGCCAUCAGCCGCGGUAAUUCGGAGGAUCCAAUCGUUAUCCGGAUUUAUUGGGUUUAAAGGGUGCGUAGGCGGAUCGAUAAGUUAGAGGUGAAAGGGCCGGGCUUAACUCGGGGAGUGCCUUUGAUACUGUGGAUCAAGAGAGUAGGUGCGGGAGGCGGAAUGUAUGGUGUAGCGGUGAAAUGCUUAGAGAGCAGACAGAACACCGAUGGCGAAGGCAGCGUACCAAUCUAUAUCUGACGGUGAGGCACGAAAGCGUGGGGAGCAAACAGGAUUAGAUACCCGAGUAGUC
rnacentral:rRNA from 1 species